ensembl:lncRNA
AUUAUUCUGCCUACAAAGUUCUAUGUGUAUUGAAACAAUAUUUAAAAUAACAUUAAAUAUUUUAAAAUGUUUGUUCACAAUUCUCAUUAGCAUCUUUAUUCAGCUUGUUGAUGAGGUUUUUCUUUGGUGGUAAUUAUACCAGACAAACCAUUGACAUAUUGAAAUACACUCACCUGGUAUAUAAUUAUGUUAUAAAGCAUGCAUAAGUUAAAACUUCUUGGGAAGUUUUAUGGGAAUGCAUGGGAAGUUGGUGAUGCUUAGUGGUAUUUAAUACACUUAACUUUUAAUCUAGUACAAGAUUGUUAAAAUAUUUAAAAAUCAUUUAUUCCAAUUUUUGCAAGGUUCAUUGUAUACUCAGAAUACAGCUUGAAAGUGGAAAAGAGCUUAUCUUGCAAUAAAAAAAAAUUGAAGAUGUUUUCCUAUAGAACAAUUAGUUCUCCACCAGAAGCACACGUCUGUUGAAGUACAUCUGAGAUACCACCUCCGCUUCUGCAGAACCUAAGGGGAAGAGGAAAUAAAAAAGAAACUGAACCCAAACUGGACUCUCAGAUGUGAUGAACUGGGAUGAAGUCUCGUCCAUUCUGAGCUGAUGCACUUUGCAUCUGUGGUUCAUCGGGAUAGAUGAGUGUUCUGUUCAGUGAAGACUGUUCCUUCGUCCGCACAGCCGCCCCCGUUCAGCUCCCUGCACUGAGCGCUUCUUUCUCAGUUGGCCUAACUUGCCCUGGGAAGGACCAUGCGAAGAUUCACAUAAUAUGAAAAAUAUCAGGUUCUUGCAAAGUAACAAAGUUCAACACAUCGCUAUCACAUUUGUAACAAACCUGGUGUGAUACGUCUUUGCAGGUA